rnacentral:rRNA from 1 species
UUUUCAUCAGACAAUCUGUGUGAGCACUGCAAAGUACGCUUCUUUAAGGUAAGGAGGUGAUCCAACCGCAGGUUCCCCUACGGUUACCUUGUUACGACUUCACCCCAGUCAUGAAUCACAAAGUGGUAAGCGCCCUCCCGAAGGUUAAGCUACCUACUUCUUUUGCAACCCACUCCCAUGGUGUGACGGGCGGUGUGUACAAGGCCCGGGAACGUAUUCACCGUGGCAUUCUGAUCCACGAUUACUAGCGAUUCCGACUUCAUGGAGUCGAGUUGCAGACUCCAAUCCGGACUACGACGCACUUUAUGAGGUCCGCUUGCUCUCGCGAGGUCGCUUCUCUUUGUAUGCGCCAUUGUAGCACGUGUGUAGCCCUGGUCGUAAGGGCCAUGAUGACUUGACGUCAUCCCCACCUUCCUCCAGUUUAUCACUGGCAGUCUCCUUUGAGUUCCCGGCCGGACCGCUGGCAACAAAGGAUAAGGGUUGCGCUCGUUGCGGGACUUAACCCAACAUUUCACAACACGAGCUGACGACAGCCAUGCAGCACCUGUCUCACGGUUCCCGAAGGCACAUUCUCAUCUCUGAAAACUUCCGUGGAUGUCAAGACCAGGUAAGGUUCUUCGCGUUGCAUCGAAUUAAACCACAUGCUCCACCGCUUGUGCGGGCCCCCGUCAAUUCAUUUGAGUUUUAACCUUGCGGCCGUACUCCCCAGGCGGUCUACUUAACGCGUUAGCUCCGGAAGCCACGCCUCAAGGGCACAACCUCCAAGUAGACAUCGUUUACGGCGUGGACUACCAGGGUAUCUAAUCCUGUUUGCUCCCCACGCUUUCGCACCUGAGCGUCAGUCUUUGUCCAGGGGGCCGCCUUCGCCACCGGUAUUCCUCCAGAUCUCUACGCAUUUCNNNNNNNNNNNNNNNNNNNNCUCAAGCCUGCCAGUUUCGAAUGCAGUUCCCAGGUUGAGCCCGGGGAUUUCACAUCCGACUUGACAGACCGCCUGCGUGCGCUUUACGCCCAGUAAUUCCGAUUAACGCUUGCACCCUCCGUAUUACCGCGGCUGCUGGCACGGAGUUAGCCGGUGCUUCUUCUGCGGGUAACGUCAAUUGCUGCGGUUAUUAACCACAACACCUUCCUCCCCGCUGAAAGUACUUUACAACCCGAAGGCCUUCUUCAUACACGCGGCAUGGCUGCAUCAGGCUUGCGCCCAUUGUGCAAUAUUCCCCACUGCUGCCUCCCGUAGGAGUCUGGACCGUGUCUCAGUUCCAGUGUGGCUGGUCAUCCUCUCAGACCAGCUAGGGAUCGUCGCCUUGGUGAGCCGUUACCUCACCAACAAGCUAAUCCCAUCUGGGCACAUCUGAUGGCAAGAGGCCCGAAGGUCCCCCUCUUUGGUCUUGCGACGUUAUGCGGUAUUAGCCACCGUUUCCAGUAGUUAUCCCCCUCCAUCAGGCAGUUUCCCAGACAUUACUCACCCGUCCGCCACUCGUCAGCAAAGCAGCAAGCUGCUUCCUGUUACCGUUCGACUUGCAUGUGUUAGGCCUGCCGCCAGCGUUCAAUCUGAGCCAUGAUCAAACUCUUCAAUUUAAAAGUUUGAUGCUCAAUGAAUUAAACUUCGUAAUGAAUUACGUGUUCACUCUUGAGACUUGGUAUUCAUUUUUCGUC